rnacentral:rRNA from 1 species
GACGAACGCUGGCGGCGUGCUUAACACAUGCAAGUCGAACGGAAAGGCCCUGCUUUUGUGGGGUGCUCGAGUGGCGAACGGGUGAGUAACACGUGAGUAACCUGCCCUUGACUUUGGGAUAACUUCAGGAAACUGGGGCUAAUACCGGAUAGGAGCUCCUGCUGCAUGGUGGGGGUUGGAAAGUUUCGGCGGUUGGGGAUGGACUCGCGGCUUAUCAGCUUGUUGGUGGGGUAGUGGCUUACCAAGGCUUUGACGGGUAGCCGGCCUGAGAGGGUGACCGGCCACAUUGGGACUGAGAUACGACCCAGACUCCUACGGGAGGCGGCAGUGGGGAAUAUUGCACAAUGGGCGGAAGCCUGAUGCAGCAACGCCGCGUGCGGGAUGACGGCCUUCGGGUUGUAAACCGCUUUCGCCUGUGACGAAGCGUGAGUGACGGUAAUGGGUAAAGAAGCACCGGCUAACUACGUG